GGCUUCAUGAUCGAGUGGUAAAGAUACUUGCCUCUCACCCAAGAGUCACGAAUUCGAUUCCCGGUCGAGGAGAAUAUUUCU